CAGCGGGACACCACCGUGGCGGACGAAUGAUUUAGGUGGUGCACUUAAAGACCCCCAGCAGCAGCCGCCUUUCUAAAGUCCCUGAUGCAAUUCAUCAUCUUAUUACACUUACUCGGCAGUCAUCCAGCAUUUAACCCA
ensembl:ncRNA F56E3.17 ncRNA